AAUCCAAGUGUUCAUCAACAGAUGCAUGGAUAAACGAAAUGUGGCUUUCUCAGUAUCAUUUGGUAUUUCCCUUUGAAACAAGCUUUGUUUAAUAGGAAAUAUUAAGAUUUCAAGUAAAAUGCUGUCUGAAUAAAUCACAACUGAAAUAGAC